CCGGUCCGACGUUAGCUAGUUGGCGGAGUAAAAGACCCGACCAACGGCGACGAUCGGUAGCUGGUCUGAGAGGACGAGCAGCCACACUGGGACGUGAGACACGGCCCACGACUCCUACGGGAGGCGAGCAGUGGGGAAGUUUUCCGCAAUGGGCGAAAGCCUGAUGCAGCGACGCCGCGUGGGGGAGUGACGGCCUUCGGGUUGUAAACUCCUUUCGCAACCGACGAAGCUUUUGUGACGUAGGUUGAGAAGAAGCACCGGCUAACUACGUGCCAGCAGCCGCGGUAAUACGUAGGGUGCGAGCGUUGUCCGGAAUUACUGGGCGUAAAGAGCUCGUAGGUGGUUUGUCGCGUCGUUUGUGGAAUACCGCAGCUUAACUGCGGGGUUGGCAGGCGAUACGGGCAUAACUUGAGUGCUGUAGGGGAGACUGGAAUUCCUGGUGUAGCGGUGGAAUGCGCAGAUAUCAAGAGGAGCACCGAUGGCGAAGGCAGGUCUCUGGGCAGUAACUGACGCUGAGGAGCGAAAGCA
rnacentral:rRNA from 1 species